GAUGAAUGCUGGCGGCGUGCCUAACACAUGCAAGUCGAGCGGCAGCGAGGGGUGCUUGCACCCUGUCGGCGAGCGGCGAACGGCUGAGUAACGCGUAGGAAUUUGCCCCAAAGUGAGGAAUAACUGCCCGAAAGGGUAGCUAAUGCCGCAUAUGGUCUUCGGAUUAAAGGAUUUAUCCGCUUUGGGAGAAGCCUGCGUUGGAUUAGGUUGUUGGUAGGGUAAUGGCCUACCAAGCCGACGAUCCAUAGCUGGUCUGAGAGGAUGAUCAGCCAGACUGGAACUGGGCCACGGUCCAGCCUCCUACGGGAGGCAGCAGUGAGGAAUCUUCCAAAAUGGGGGAAAGCCUGAUGGAGCAACGCCGCGUGAAGGAUGAAGGCCUUCGGGUUGUAAACUUCUUUUAUGAGUGAAGAAUAUGACGGUAACUCAUGAAUAAGCACCGGCUAACUACGUG
rnacentral:rRNA from 1 species